rnacentral:rRNA from 1 species
AUUGAACGCUGGCGGCAUGCUUUACACAUGCAAGUCGAACGGUAACAGGCCGCAAGGUGCUGACGAGUGGCGAACGGGUGAGUAAUGCAUCGGAACGUGCCCAGUCGUGGGGGAUAACGCAGCGAAAGCUGCGCUAAUACCGCAUACGAUCUAUGGAUGAAAGCGGGGGACCGUAAGGCCUCGCGCGAUUGGAGCGGCCGAUGUCAGAUUAGGUAGUUGGUGGGGUAAAGGCUCACCAAGCCAACGAUCUGUAGCUGGUCUGAGAGGACGACCAGCCACACUGGGACUGAGACACGGCCCAGACUCCUACGGGAGGCAGCAGUGGGGAAUUUUGGACAAUGGGGGCAACCCUGAUCCAGCAAUGCCGCGUGCAGGAAGAAGGCCUUCGGGUUGUAAACUGCUUUCGUACGGAACGAAACGGUCUUGGUUAAUACCCGAGGCUAAUGACGGUACCGUAAGAAUAAGCACCGGCUAACUACGUGCCAGCAGCCGCGGUAAUAC